GAGUUUAAAUACAAAUAUUGUCUUCUAGACAAUAUACACACCCAAAUAAGUCCUCAUUAAUUAUUCAUACACUAUUUUACAGAAAUAGUGAGGACAGCUAAAACAUCUUCCUAGAACCAUCACUCCAUACCCCGACUCGAUCCUGCUAUGUUCUCACCUCCUGAGAAGAAAAAUGGAACAAAAAGGAAAAGGGUGAGCUCAACUAGCCCAGUAAAGAAUAUUAUGACUAAGAUAAUAUACAACAAAUUAUCGUUAGUCUUCAACAGGGAAAAAUCUAAUAGAAUACAAUAGACAACAAGUUUUAGAUCAACAAAUGCAGCGGAAACAGCAAUCCAUUAGAAGAGUCACGUAGAGAAAGAAUUCUACUGUCUUCUAAGGUUUAAAAGUCCAUCAUCAAUAGUUUAUCCCUGUAAUAACAAUCAAUAUACAUCUUUAAUCAUCUUUGCACUACAGGCCAAAGAUAUUCAUUUGUAUCACCAGUUGGUCAUGUUCAUCUCAACACCUGUUCAUCUUUGCACUACAGGCCAAAGAUAUUCAUCAGUUAAUCGUUCAUCUUUGCACUACAGGCCAAAGAUAUUCAUUUAUAUCACCAUUUAGGACUGAGGAUGAUGAAAAACAUUUUUAAAGAAACGAAUCCAGUGAAACAAAAUGACAAGGAUUAAGGAUUAAGGAUUCGUACUUUGUUUUACCCAUGUCCAAAAAUACUUCGAAAAUAAUCAUAUUGGUGUAAAAUUCAAGAAUGAUCAAAACAUGGAUACAAUCAAAGCUAGUAUCCAGAAUAGAUAUUUUGGACAAAAAGAAAAAUUUUUAUUUUUCGGUGAAUAGUGCCGUAUUCGUGAAUAGUGUCGUAUACGUGAAUAGUGCCGUAUACGUGAAUAGUAACCCCGACACAACAAGUUCCAAAUUUGAUAAAAAAGUUCACCAAUACUUCGACAUAAUGAUAUUGAGAAAAAAUAUCAUUUAAGAAGAAAAUAAUACCCCUUACCUCAAAAUAACCGUACUUCUGACUGAAUUUUCGGUAUAGUGCUGACAGAAACUCGCACCGUAUAGCAACACUCAAAGUAUACUCACAAGAAUAUGCUCG
rnacentral:lncRNA from 1 species